AACAACACUGAGGAUGUGUUCCUGAGCUUCAGAGACCCGACCCUUGCUACACCUUCACCGACUACCUCUACCGAACCCUGGUUGGCCAUGGGAUUGUCGCCUACAGAGACAGCGAAGACUUUCACGCCAGUGAUCGGAUCAGCAAUCUCUUGAGAGCGGUCAGCAAAUCCAAGAUCUGCAUACCGGUCCUCUCCUGGGGCUACGUGUCGAGCGCUUGGUGCCUCUGAGCUCGCUCAAGUGAUGGAGCUCAAUGCAUCGACUGGGAAACCAGCGAUUUUACCCACCAACUUUGACGUCAAGCUCGGAAGGGGACUGCUGAAGGAGGCCUUCUUGGAGCACAAGCGGAGGCUCAAUGCCGAUAUCAAAAGUUGGAAGGAUCGUCUGCGAGAAGUGGCUGAGAUCAAGGAAUGGAAUAUCCAACCAAACAGCGAAGCCAUUGAGCUCGCUUUGAAAGUGGUUCUGCAUAAGCCGAGAGGAAACGAAAGACCUCUGGAUGGCAAAUUGGUAAGUUGGGAAGAGGCUCAGACCUCUGGGGUAGACAAUGGGAGUGUCGGACGAAGGAUCACCUCAUGGCAAAAGGGUAAGCUGCUGGGAAAUGGGUCAUAUGGACGUGUCUAUGAAAUCUUAACCGAUGAUGGAACCUUUUUCGCUGUAAAGGAGGUUUAUUUGUUAGAUCAAGGAUGCCAAAGCUUAUUGUAUCUUGAGCAGGAAAUUUCUCUUUUAAGUCAGCUUCGACAUGACAACAUAGUUCGAUAUUACGGCACUGAGAAGGAUGAUGAGAAGAUUUACCUAUUCCUUGAGCUCAUGACCAAAGGUUCACUUGCAAUGCUUUAUGGCAAAUAUGACUUGAGUGAUUCCCAAGUCUCUGCAUUGUCAACCUUGGCGUUUCCCUCACUGCCCUCGAUUGUUGAUCUCCUCUAUAGUGAUCAUUGGCCUAAAUGGUUGUCUCCUAUGCUAGAUUUAGUUACUUUCGAUACUAAUGAUUACCUCCCCAUAUGAGUAGUCAGUUUUCCAUUUGGGAUGGUAAUUGCUGACUGUAGCCAGUAAAUCACCUUAUGAUGCUAUCCUUUCUAGGCAUCACAGUGUGGAAAUGCUCUUUUGUUGAUAGAAUGGCUGCUGCUGAAAUUAGGAGUGCUCUUAUCUGCUGAGUGAGUUGUGAAGGUUGCACUGCUUUCGUGCGCAUCUUGGGUUUAUUUAUUAUAAUGAGAAAAAAAUAAUACCAUCCUACUCAAAGCCAUUGUAAAACAUGCAACUAACGCCCUUUUCUUUUUUACUUUUUUGUUAAUUUAGGACACUUAAAAAUUUGAGCAAAAAGCAGUAGAUACUUACGCUUUAUUGGCAGUAGUUGGUCCCUGUGAACUGUUAUAUGUCAUCCGCGGUCUCCUACUUCAGCAAUAACUGUGACAGAUGAUUGCCUGAAGCACACUUAGAUUUGUCUACAGAUCUUAUUGAUUAAUGCAGCUAUCACAUGUUAGUUCCCCCUGGAUUUAUGAUUAACACUAGCCUCUGCUACAUUUUCUUUCUUGUUGUGGCAGAUGCAAGCAUUGUUCAGAAUUGGCAAGGGUGAACUUCCUCCAAUUCCUGAUUCUUUAUCGAGAGAUGCUCGAGACUUCAUCCUCAGUUGCUUGCGAGUGAACCCAAAUAAUCGGCCUUCUGCAGCACAGUUGCUAGACCAUCCCUUUGUGAGGAAGCCACCCACAUCUUCUGGUCUUGCAUCGCCUCAUGACGACAACAUAUCAUCAUAAGGUUUUGCUAGGCCAUCGCCUUUGGUCCACUGCUGAAGAUGAGCAUGCCUUUGGCAGUGAAGGCCAUCUAGUAAAUUGGAGAAGAUUGACUGUCCUCGCGAGUGGUCUUGGGCUGCAACUGAUUUUAUGGCGUCUUUAUUCUGCUUGCGUUAACCCCUUCUUGUUUAUCCGGGAAUUGUAAAUAUCAUGUCAUGUUGUAUAUUUCCCGUUCGAAAGAAAGGUAGGAAACAAAGAUGUUGACGAUGACACGGCAUCUCCAAUGACAAGUUUCUGCUUUUAUGAAGUGUAGAUAGGUGCAUAGGACUUCUACACGAUUUGCAAUCAAUUAAGAUUGGAUGCACUCAAAAGGCUCGCCACGGA